rnacentral:rRNA from 1 species
AUUGAACGCUGGCGGCAGGCCUAACACAUGCAAGUCGAACGAGUGGCGGACGGGUGAGCAAGGGCUGGGAAACUGCCUGAUGGAGGGGGAUAACUACUGGAAAAGGUAGCUAAUACCGCAUACCAGCGGAUGUGCCCAGAUGGGAUUAGCGAGUAGGGGGGGUAAAGGCUCACCUAGGCGACGAUCCCUAGCUGGUCUGAGAGGAUGACCGGCCACACUGGGACUGAGACACGGUCCAGACUCCUACGGGAGGCAGCAGUGGGGAAUAUUGCGCAAUGGACGCAAGCCUGAUGCAGCCAUGCCGCGUGUGUGAAGAAGGCCUUCGGGUUGUAAAGUACUUUCAGCGGGGAGGCGUUACCCACAGAGGAAGCACCGGCUAACUCCGUGCCAGCAGCCGCGGUAAUAC